rnacentral:rRNA from 1 species
CAUUCACGGAGAGUUUGAUCCUGGCUCAGGACGAACGCUGGCGGCGUGCUUAACACAUGCAAGUCGAACGAUGAACCACUUCGGUGGGGAUUAGUGGCGAACGGGUGAGUAACACGUGGGCAAUCUGCCCUGCACUCUGGGACAAGCCCUGGAAACGGGGUCUAAUACCGGA